rnacentral:rRNA from 1 species
AAGGGCACCACAAGAACGCGUGGAGCAUGUGGCUUAAUUUGACUCAACGCGGGAAAUCUUACCGGGUCCGGACGUGCUGAGGAUUGACAGGUUUUGUGUCAAAACAAAUUUUCAAUAUUUGUUUGGCACUCAAAGAUGCUAGUCCUUUCAUGAUUGUGCGAUAGGUGGUGCAUGGCCGUUCUUAGUUCGUGGAGUGAUCUGUCUGCUUAAUUGCGUUUCGCAAAAGGUCAUCACUAACGCUUGCUGAGCACCUAGCGUUUUAGUGUUCGCCUCUUUCGCCGCAUUUACGAUUUUUGCCGUUUUUGCAGGGGGAGAUUGAUUCUUCUCAUUACACUUUGUAUAUACACCUCCCCGCCGCCCCCCACUUUUACACACACACUCGGCACAUACACACAUUCGACUCACGUUGUUUGUUGCUGUUGUUGUUGUUGUGUGUUGUUGUUGAGAGUGGGUCGGGUGUGGGGAUUUGGUGUUUCGCAGGGUGGAGUUGUUUUAUCAGUCUCUCUUUUGUGGGGAUGGUUACGUUUUUGUGGUUGAGGUUUGAAUACCGCUAGGUUACUCUUCUUCCAAGUCUCAGCAAUGCGUGUUGACCUUGAAAGCAACGAACGUGACCGCAGCCUCUUGUUGCCCUGCUUUUGUUUCAGUGUUGUUUUAAUUAGCAAUACUAAACACACACGGGUCAAACUAGAGGGACCGCUCGACAUAUGUUAAAACAGAGGAAGGUUGCGGCAAUAACAGGUCUGUGAUGCCCUUAGAUGUUCCGGGCUGCACGCGUGCUACAAUGAUUAUUGCAGUAAGCAUCUUACUUUUACGCUAUGCUUCUCUCUGUCUCUUACAGAACUUGUUCUGUUUUAGUACAGGGGUGAAGCUCCCUCUGUGUUGUGCUUUUUUUGCUGCCUUUAAUGGGAGUGAAAACUGUUGCGACAUCAGAGGGGAAUACACCUACUUCGAAAGUCAGUAGGUAAUCAUUUCUAAGUAAUGAUUUCCCUUUUUAUCAAGCACAUACCAUGUUUCAAUGCCAGUCUGCUCUUGCAAACCCUCUUUUUUUAGAGGUGUUUCAAUUGUGUUAGACUCAUUGGUAACGUGUGCUCCCCUUUCUCUCCUUUUUUUCCCUCUUUUUUGAGGGUAAAAUUAGAGAGAGAAUCAAUUCGUGGUGGGGACAGACCAUUGCUAAUUGUUGGUCUCGGUCUUAACUAGGAAUGCCUUGUACGGGUCUUUGGUUCAACAAACCACCCGGAAUACGUCCCUGCCCUUUGUACACACCGCCCGUC